rnacentral:sRNA from 1 species
UAUUCUGCCCCACGGGGAAGGAUGAGAAGCUUCGACUAAGGUUCGACUCGAGCGAAGCGAGAGAACGUUGCCGCAGGCAACGGCCCGAAGGGCGAGGAGCUUUAGCGCCGAGUAAUCCUUCCCCCACCACCA